AGGCGAGCGCGGACGCCCGUCAGCGGGAAAGCGUCCGGCGACGCUUCCUAAAGCCGCGGGCUGUCAAGGAGGGCCGUGGUCUUGCGGAGCUGCGCCGCCGGGAAGGGCCGCCCGGGGCCGGCGGGAGGGGCGGGGGGAGCCGUGGCGGGGAGCCGUGGGCCGCGGACGCCGCCUGUCAGGUGUGUUGAGUCUUAGACCCCAACGUGCUGUUUGCAACAAGUGGAUCCCAGAGUCAGGAUAACCUGGUGGUGUUGGAUGCUGUGGCAGCUAAUCCUAAACCUAUCAGCCAGCCAAGUAAGAAACUAAGCCAGCUAUCUAGUGGAAGUGCCAGGAAAUAAAGAUAAUACAGUAGAGGUCUGAGAGCAGCUGUGAAAUUGAAGCCUCUGGGCUUUGCAGUCCUCCUCUGUGUUCUUCCCCAUAACAAACCAAACAGAACCCAAGCCCGAUCCGUGGACUGGGAAGCUCCUUAUCCUAGUCUUUUCCUCCUCAUCCAUAAGCUGCCUCUGUCAGUGCCAGUAUAUCGCAGAGGCUACCAGUAUUCAGUGGCUGAAGGGUGAGGGGGGAAAGAAUGACUGUGUGGAUGGACAGCCACGGGCCUAAGCUGGACUAAGUUGCAUUGGAGAGGGUGAAUAUUUGGGCUAUUAAAAAGGUCAGCCCUUUGCUUGUAAUGUGUUAGUCUUCAUUCCUUUGCCUUCUCUCAAGACAGAUUUACUUACCUGAGCUGCCAGAGGGCAUGCAAUUUCUACCCAUUUGGAGCUGUCCUGGAAGAGGCAGUGAUUUUCCUUCUUAAAGUGUUACACUGGAAUGUAAAAGACAGUUGUACUACUCGUACAGAUUUUCUGAGAAAUAUUGAUUUUUUUUUUCCCUGAAGCUACAAUUUGAAGAUUUGGUACGUUUGUCUAAGAUUUCUGUCCCAGUUUUGCAGCUGGUCUGCACAUCACAGGGUAAUUCCAACACACUUGAGGGAGACAUUACUGGUUUUUUAAGUGCAGAUCACCUGCUUAGGAUUUAGGAAAUGAAGCCAGGAUUUCCAGAACACAUCAGACGGAGAACACGCAGUCUGGAGCACACAUAUGCUUGGUUCUGACAUGGAAAAUACCAGACGGAAAUCUGGCAGCUGUAAAGUGGAUCAAACAAGGUAAUCUAAAGUUCCAGUGGCCCUGAGGAGAUCCUUGGUUUCUCAUACCAAGGGAAUGUCAAGUAGUCAGCUGUACUGAUUUUUAUUUCAAAAGUUGUCUUUAUUCUGUAUGUAUUGCCAAGAGUUAAUCUGUAAGCUACUCUGAUUUAUCUUCUGAAUACCAUGCAGCGUCCAGGCUAAUUCCUAAGACACAUUUUCGGUCAGGAUUUUAUUUUACUCAAACUGAGAUAGACGUUUUCUGUCCUGUGGAAUAAACACGAAAGGUCUGGUGGUUUGUUCAGUGA